GCACGCGAUUAUUUGCAUAUUGAUAUGGCCGCUUCUUAUAUGGUGGGCGAUAAAUUAGAAGAUAUGCAGGCAGCGGUUGCGGCGAACGUGGGAACAAAAGUGCUGGUGCGUACGGGUAAACCUAUUACACCUGAAGCAGAAAACGCGGCAGAUUGGGUGUUAAAUAGCCUGGCAGACCUGCCGCAAGCGAUAAAAAAGCAGCAAAAACCGGCGCAAUGAUUAAAAGAUGAGCGGUUGAAAUAAAAAUGCAUUUUUCCGCUUGUCUUCCUGAGCCGACUCCCUAUAAUGCGCCUCCAUCGACACGGCGAAUGUGAAUCACUUCACACAAACAGCCGGUUCGGUUGAAGAGAAAAAAUCCUGAAAUUCAGGGUUGACUCUGAAAGAGGAAAGCGUAAUAUACGCCACCUCGCGACAGUGAGCUGAAAGCCGCGUCGCAACUGCUCUUUAACAAUUUAUCAGACAAUCUGUGUGGGCACUCGAAGAUACGGAUUCUUAACGUCGCAAGACGAAAAAUGAAUACCAAGUCU
rnacentral:rRNA from 1 species